CGUAGGGUGCAAGCGUUAAUCGGAAUUACUGGGCGUAAAGCGUGCGCAGGCGGUUAUGUAAGACAGAGGUGAAAUCCCCGGGCUCAACCUGGGAACUGCCUUUGUGACUGCAUAGCUAGAGUACGGCAGAGGGGGAUGGAAUUCCGCGUGUAGCAGUGAAAUGCGUAGAUAUGCGGAGGAACACCGAUGGCGAAGGCAAUCCCCUGGGCCUGUACUGACGCUCAUGCACGAAAGCGUGGGGAGCAAACAGGAUUAGAUACCCUGGUAGUCCACGCCCUAAACGAUGUCAACUGGUUGUUGGGUCUUCACUGACUCAGUACGAGCUAACGCGUGAAGUUGACCGCCUGGGAGUACGGCCGCAAGGUUG
rnacentral:rRNA from 1 species